CGUAACAAGGUUUCCGUAGGUGAACCUGCGGAAGGAUCAUUACCUAGAGUUUGUAGACUUCGGUCUGCUACCUCUUACCCAUGUCUUUUGAGUACCUUCGUUUCCUCGGCGGGUCCGCCCGCCGAUUGGACAACAUUCAAACCCUUUGCAGUUGCAAUCAGCGUCUGAAAUAACAUAAUAGUUACAACUUUCAACAACGGAUCUCUUGGUUCUGGCAUCGAUGAAGAACGCAGCGAAAUGCGAUAGGUAGUGUGAAUUGCAGAAUUCAGUGAAUCAUCGAAUCUUUGAACGCACAUUGCGCCCCUUGGUAUUCCAUGGGGCAUGCCUGUUCGAGCGUCAUUUGUACCUUCAAGCUCUGCUUGGUGUUGGGUGUUUGUCUCGCCUCUGCGUGUAGACUCGCCUUAAAACAAUUGGCAGCCGGCGUAUUGAUUUCGGAGCGCAGUACAUCUCGCGCUUUGCACUCAUAACGACGACGUCCAAAAGUACAUUUUUACACUCUUGACCUCGGAUCAGGUAGGGAUACCCGCUGAACUUAAGCA
rnacentral:rRNA from 1 species